rnacentral:tRNA from 1 species
CAGGGAGACAACAAAAUGUUUAAUAUUAUUAUUUUGUCACCUUAGGUCGAUCGGUAUCUCACGUUCUUAAUUUAUUAAGAAUUUCAUUUCCUAAGUUUUUCUAGGUCACACCCAUUAUUUUUCCUGGGCCAUUAGCUCAGGUGGUUAGAGCGCACCCCUGAUAAGGGUGAGGUCCCUGGUUCAAGUCCAGGAUGGCCCAUAUCUCUAUGUUGGGGGUAUAGCUCAGUUGGUAGAGCGCCUGCUUUGCAAGCAGGAUGUCAGCGGUUCGAGUCCGCUUACCUCCACUGAUUACCACCUCUUCCAUAAUUUGAAGAAAGGAAAUUUUUUGAGUUGUGAUCAAAUUCUGAACGAAUCUAGCUUCCUAAUGAAUCCAUUAAGAUGCUGGACUCAUUGAAUUAAUUUUCAUUGUUUUCAGAGAACCUUGACAACUGCAUAGAUUAUUUUUAAAGACAAUAAGCAUCUUUAAUGAUGCAGAUUUAUUAUUUGUGCGAAUGCAUUAAUAACAAUUCUAUUAAGCUGAUGCUUCAAUUUAAUGAAGUUAUU